rnacentral:rRNA from 1 species
GACGCUUCGACUGCCUUACGAUGACUGGUGCAUAGCUAGUGGUAGUACGUACAAGCGUCGAUCUAGCCUCCUGAAGGUGAUCUCACCUGAACUGAGCACGUCCAGACUCUACGGAGCAGCAGUAGGGAUCUCACAUGCGAAGCUGAUAGCACGCGCGUGAGUGAGAGUCUCGAUCGUAAAGCUCUGUUAGGGAGACGAGCUAAGUAGUAUCUGUCUGUAGCUUGACGGUACCUACUGAGAAAGCACGGCUAACUACUGCCAGCAGCCGCGGUAAUACUAGGGGCAAGCGUUGCUCGGAAUUAUUGGGCGUAAAGCGCGCGCAGGCGGUCUUAAGUCUGAUGUGAAACCCACGGCUCAACCGUGGAGGGUCAUUGAAACUGGGAUUGAGUGCGAGAGGAAGGGAAUUCUCAAGUGUAGCGGUGAAAUGCGUAGAGAUGGAGGAACACCAGUGGGAAGGCGACUCUCGGUCUGACUGCUGAGGCGAAGGUGGGGACAAACAGAUUAGAUACCCUGGUAGUCACGCCGUAACGAGAGUUAAGUGUUAGGGGGUUUCCCCCCUUAGUGUGCAGCUAACGCAUUAAGCUCCGCCUGGGGAGUACGGUCGCAAGUAAACUCAAAGAAUUGACGGGGGCCCGCACAAGCGGUGGAGCAUGUGGUUUAAUUCGAAGCAACGCGAAGAACCUUACCAGGUCUUGACAUCCUUGACCACGUAGAGAUAUAGUUUCCCCUUCGGGGCCAACGGUGACAGGUGGUGCAUGGUUGUGUCAGCUCGUGUCGUGAGAUGUUGGGUUAAGUCCCGCAACGAGCGCACCCCUUGAUUUUAGUCCCCUCAUUAGUUGGGCACUCUAAGGGACUGCCGGUGACAAACCGGAGGAAGGUGGGGAUGACGUCAAUCAUCAUGCCCUUAGCCUGGGCUACACACGUGCUACAAUGGCGUACAAGGUUGCCAACCGCGAGGGAGCUAAUCCAUAAAUCGUUCAGUCGGAUGAGCUGCAACUCGCCUCUGAAGCGGAAUCGCUAGUAAUCGCGAUCAGAUGCGCGGUGAAUACGUUCCCGGGCCUUGUACACACCGCCCGUCACACCAGGAGUUGUCACCGAAGUCGUUGGUAACCUUGGAGCGGCUAGAUGUU